UACGAAGGGGGCUAGCGUUGUUCGGAUUUACUGGGCGUAAAGGGCGCGCAGGCGGUUCUGUUUGUCGAGUGUGAAAGCCCCGGGCUCAACCUGGGAACUGCGCUCGAAACGGCGGAACUAGAGUUCGGGAGAGGAGAGUGGAAUUCCCAGUGUAGAGGUGAAAUUCGUAGAUAUCGGGAGGAACACCGGUGGCGAAGGCGGUUCUCUGGGCCUGACCUGACGCUGAGGAGCGAAAGCGUGGGGAGCGAACAGG
rnacentral:rRNA from 1 species